rnacentral:rRNA from 1 species
CGGGGCAACCUGGCGGCGAGCGGCGGACGGGUGAGGAAUGCAUCGGAAUCUACCCUGUCGUGGGGGAUAACGUAGGGAAACUUACGCUAAUACCGCAUACGACCGAGAGGUGAAAGUGGGGGACCGCAAGGCCUCACGCGAUUGGAUGAGCCGAUGCCGGAUUAGCUAGUUGGUGGGGUAAAGGCCUACCAAGGCGACGAUCCGUAGCUGGUCUGAGAGGAUGAUCAGCCACACUGGGACUGAGACACGGCCCAGACUCCUACGGGAGGCAGCAGUGGGGAAUAUUGGACAAUGGGCGCAAGCCUGAUCCAGCCAUGCCGCGUGUGUGAAGAAGGCCUUCGGGUUGUAAAGCACUUUUGUUCGGGAAGAAAUCGUGCGGGCUAAUACCCAGUACGGAUGACGGUACCGAAAGAAUAAGCACCGGCUAACUUCGUGCCAGCAGCCGCGGUAAUACGAAGGGUGCAAGCGUUACUCGGAAUCACUGGGCGUAAAGCGUGCGUAGGCGGUUGGUUAAGUCUGCUGUGAAAGCCCUGGGCUCAACCUGGGAACUGCAGUGGAUACUGGCCAGCUAGAGUGUGAUAGAGGAUGGUGGAAUUCCCGGUG